GGUUUGUUGUGUCGUCAGGUCACACCACAGGAGGGAGGGGUUUGUUGUGUCGUCAGGUCACACCACAGGAGGGAGGGGUUUGUUGUGUCGUCAGGUCACACCACAUGAGGGAGGGGUUUGUUGUGUCGUCAGGUCACACCACAUGAGGGAGGGGUUUGUUGUGUCGUCAGGUCACACCACUGGUAUAAGAAGACCCCAGGGAAGUUGAUACAAGUAUGUGUUGUAAAUGUUGUUGUGUCGUAACGUCACACUAAAGGAGAAGUGAAAAUAAGAAUAGUCAGGUCAGCAGUGUAAGAAUACCCUUUUUUGAAGCACAUGACAUGAAUUUAACCAUCCGAACUAAUCUUGACCUGAUCAAACCUAACCAAGUCCUAACCAAACCUUACCUUACCUAACCAAUCAUACAAAAACUCACCUAACCUAGUCUAAACUAACCAAACCAAACCAAACCAAGUCCUGAUCAAACCUGGCCUUUUCUAACCAACCUUACAAAAAACUCAUGUAACCUAAUCUAACCUAACCUACCCAAAUCAAAUCCUGACCAAACCUUACCUUUCCUACCCAAAGCCUUCCAAACAAAUCACCUAACCUAACCCAACCUAAACUAACCAACGGGUCCUUGAAUAGAUUGUGGUUAGAUUGGGUUACGUUUAGUCAACUCGCGUCGUUUAGGAAAAAAAAAAAAAAAACCAAAUCGAUGUUGUUAAAAAAUUUCAUCCAUUUGUAUACAUUAUCUCACGUAAUUCCUUUUGGAGAAGAAAGAUACAGGAAAAACAUAGAUAAAGGAAGUAGGAAGUAAACAAUAUGAAUAACUAUCCAAAUUACGAGUACUACCAUAUCAUUUCCCUCUCCCAAAUAAAAAAAAAAUAACACUGUUUUAAUGCGUAUGUGCGUGCGUGUGUGCAUGUGUAAAAAGCAAAGAAAUGUAUCUAAAGUAAUGGAAGUGUAUAUAUAUAAUUGACCUGAUAUUUAUGAUGAGUGUUAACACAUUUAAGAAUUCCACUAUGAUAUCUGUGUACUGUAUUUGGCGUAUGUCUCUACCUACUGCUGUAUUCUUGAAUCUAUUUUGUAAUGUCGGUACUUUUCGUGUAUAAAUUGAUGUGUGUGUGAACCGAGACUUCCUUUCUAAAAUACGAUAGCAUGUAUAUAUAGCAUUAGGUCACCUGAUAUGUGGCUGUUGCUUUCAUCACAUUUUCUAUAAAAACAGAAAACGUGAACAAUAGUUGGAGUCUCGUAGAAAAUGGGUAGUGGGUGUAUCAUAGAAAAUGGGUCAUGAUUGUAUGACAGAAAAUGGGUAAUGGGUAUAUCACAGAAGAUGGGUAUCAUAUGUAAUUAUGUAUAUACAAUGAAUAUUUCUGUCUGUUAUAGGAUAAGAAUUAAUUAUAGUUGUUGAUAAUCUCACAUUACCAUCACUUGUAUAAUGUUCCUUUUAUUUCACCCAGGAGUUUAGUAAUAUGUAAACUGUGGUUUUUUUUUUACUCUGUACAGAUAAAUGAAUCACGAUUUAUUUUAUCUUUUAAGAAGAAGAAAUUCCUAUGAUGUGCUACUGUGUACCUCUGCUAGGCACAAACCCUCUCCUAGGAUCCUUUCUGCUGGGAUCCUCUUUGCUAGAAUCUACUCUGCUAGGAUCCUGUUUCCUUGGGUUCCAAUUUGCUCUGAUCUUCUCUGCUGGGACCCAAUUUUCUAGGAUCUUCCCUUAUUAGAUUUCUAUCUGCUAGAAUCCCCACUUCAGGGAUUCUUUGCUAGGUUCCUCUUUGCUAGGAUCCUCUUUGCUAGGUUCCUCUUUGCUAGGAUCCUCUUUGCUAGGAACAAACUCUUGUUAGGUACCACUGACCUUAAAGAACAAUACUUCCCGUUUUCUUUCGACUGGCAGAUCCACUUCUCGUUUUCUUUCGACAUAGAGAUCCGUGACUUUCCCAACCCUCAGUAAGGCUCAUUUUACACGUGUUGUGGUAUGGGGAGGUGAGCUUUACUGACCGGCGGCCUCUUCACCCAAGGGUCUGUCACGGAUCUGGUAAGAAAUUUCUUUGCCUGGGGUUAGUGGUUGACGGGGUUGUGUAUGAGUUGGUGAGUUUGGAGAAGGGUCUUAGUUUCAAGGUGCUUCAACUGCCAGGGUCAUUAAGCACCGUUCACUAGGAUUUAGUUUUAAGGUGCUACAACUACCAGGGUUGUUUAGCAUCGUUCACUAGGUCUUAGUUUUUAUAACAUACAACUUAUAGUAAAACAAUGAAUUCCUGUUUUUACUAUGAAGGAAUCCUAACUCUUGUAUAUAAUAUAUUUACACUGAAGAGUUCCUCAUUCCAUGAUCAACCUUCAUCAUUUUCUAAGUGAAAAAAUAGGACUUUUUUCCACUUUUAUCUCAUGUGAACUUUGUACAAAUUACUUUAAAAUGUUGAUGUAUACAUACACUCACUAUAUACUGCAUAUAUAUACUGACACAAUGUCACUGUUAUUGUGGUAAAUUCAUAUCAGUAGCUUUGACGACCCUCUAGUGAUCUUACAUGAUUGGCUAUGUAUGUAUGCACAGUAUGUCUUUACCACCUGCCUGACAAAGCUGUACUGUGUUUUAUUAUUAUUAUUAUUAUUAUUAUUAUUAUUAUUAUUAUUAUUAUUAUUAUUAUUAUUAUUGUCAUCAUUAUCAUCCUGUAGGUGCGGUAGGCUGGACAUGGUGGUCUACCAGGAUAUGUUUUCACCGGGUUAUUUAGUUUUUUCCUGUGUUUAGGUCACUUCAUUUCGUUAUAAUUCCUCAUGAACUCAACCCGAUUUUACCUCUUGUGGAGAGACGCCUGGUCCGUAUUAUUUAUUCAUGGUAAGGAGAGGUUAAGUCAGGUGAAGUUUGGAGAAUUAUUAACAAUUUCCCAUCAUGUAUUUUACUGAUUAGACUGACCAGGUGUAUUGAUGAUUAGACUGACCAGGUGUGUUGAUGAUUAGACUGACCUGGUGUGUUGAUGAUUAGACUGACUGUAUUAGACUGACCAGGUGUGUUGAUAAUUAGACUGACCAGGUGUGUUGAUGAUUAGACUGAAUGGAUUAGACUGACCAGGUGUGUUGAUGAGUAGAUUGAAUGGAUUAGACUGACCAGUUGUGUUGAUGAUUAGACUGACCAGGUGUGUUGAUGAUUAGAUUGAAUGGAUUAGACUGACCAGUUGUGUUGAUGAUUAGACUGAAUGGAUUAGACUGACCAGGUGUGUUGAUGAUUAGAUUGAAUGGAUUAGACUGACCAGUUGUGUUGAUGAUUAGACUGAAUGGAUUAGACUGACCAGGUGUGUUUCUGACAGCCAGUGACCUAUAGCCUCCUCAGACCACCUAUAGCCCUGGUACACCUGUCAGCUCGAUCAGAUACCACAGCUUAAAUUUAUCUGUGGUAUAACUAUAAUGGGGUUGUGGCAUAUCUAUCUGCUGGCUGUGGUAUAGCUGUGUUAAGAGUGGUAUAACGGGGGUAUAGCUGUGUUAAGAGUGAUAUAACGGGGGUAUAGCUGUGUUAAGAGUGGUAUAACGAGGGCAUAGCUGUGUUAAGAGUGGUAUAACAGUGAUAACAAUAGAAUUCCUUUUUCUUCACAACUCGAGCUGGAGAAGUGCCCGUAACCCACCUGGCUGACCAAUGACCUACCUGGCUGACCUGCCUGACUUGACCUAUCUCCUGUGACCUACCUUGCUGACUUACCUGACUGACCUAUCUCCUGUGACUUACCUUACUGACCAACCUGACUGACCUACUUAGUGUGACCUACCUGACUCCCCUACCUGGUGUUAUCUACCUGGCUUGACCCACCACUCUGACCUACCUAGCUGACCUACCUAUUUGACUUACGUGACUAACUUACUUGGUAUGACCUACCUGGCUGACCUAAUUUGUGUGACCUACCUUACUGGCCUACCUGACUGACCUACCUGGUAUAACCUACCUAUCUGACCUACCUAGCUGGCCUGCAUAGAUGACCUACGUGGCUUUACCUUCCUGGCUGAACCUACCUAGAAGAUGACCUACCUACCUGGCUUGACCUUUCUAGAUGACCUACCAAGAGUAUGGCCUACCUACCUAUCUACCUGACUUGACCUUCCUAGCUGAACCUACCUAAAAGAUGACCUACUUAACCUACCUAGAAGAUUCCUUACCUGGUUGAUGACCUACCUGGUUGAUGACCUACCUGGUUGAUGACCUACCUGGCUUGACCUGCCCAGCCUACUGUGGUCAGAUCAGGGGCUCGUCUAGUUUACAUAGGUAGGUGUUUUUGAUGUCUCAGCUCUUAUGUAUUGGAGAGGUCAACACUGUAAUGAUCUUUUGAUAAUAAACAGAAGAUGAAU